GGGCGUUAAGUUGCAGGGUAUAGACCCGAAACCCGGUGAUCUAGCCAUGGGCAGGUUGAAGGUUGGGUAACACUAACUGGAGGACCGAACCGACUAAUGUUGAAAAAUUAGCGGAUGACCUGUGGCUGGGGGUGAAAGGCCAAUCAAACCGGGAGAUAGCUGGUUCUCCCCGAAAGCUAUUUAGGUAGCGCCUCGUGAACUCAUCUCCGGGGGUAGAGCACUGUUUCGGCUAGGGGGCCAUCCCGGCUUACCAACCCGAUGCAAACUGCGAAUACCGGAGAAUGUUAUCACGGGAGACACACGGCGGGUGCUAACGUCCGUCGUGAAGAGGGAAACAACCCAGACCGCCAGCUAAGGUCCCAAAGUCAUGGUUAAGUGGGAAACGAUGUGGGAAGGCCCAGACAGCCAGGAUGUUGGCUUAGAAGCAGCCAUCAUUUAAAGAAAGCGUAAUAGCUCACUGGUCGAGUCGGCCUGCGCGGAAGAUGUAACGGGGCUAAACCAUGCACCGAAGCUGCGGCAGCGACGCUGUGCGUUGUUGGGUAGGGGAGCGUUCUGUAAGCCUGUGAAGGUGGCCUGUGAGGGUUGCUGGAGGUAUCAGAAGUGCGAAUGCUGACAUAAGUAACGAUAAAGCGGGUGAAAAG
rnacentral:rRNA from 2 species